rnacentral:rRNA from 1 species
AUUGAACGCUGGCGGCAGGCCUAACACAUGCAAGUCGAGCGGCAGCGGGAAAGUAGCUUGCUACUUUUGCCGGCGAGCGGCGGACGGGUGAGUAAUGCCUGGGAAAUUGCCCAGUCGAGGGGGAUAACAGUUGGAGACGACUGCUAAUACCGCAUACGCCCUACGGGGGAAAGCAGGGGACCUUCGGGCCUUGCGCGAUUGGAUAUGCCCGGGUGGGAUUAGCUAGUUGGUGAGGUAAUGGCUCACCAAGGCGACGAUCCCUAGCUGGUCUGAGAGGAUGAUCAGCCACACUGGAACUGAGACACGGUCCAGACUCCUACGGGAGGCAGCAGUGGGGAAUAUUGCACAAUGGGGGAAACCCUGAUGCAGCCAUGCCGCGUGUGUGAAGAAGGCCUUCGGGUUGUAAAGCACUUUCAGCGAGGAGGAAAGGUUGAUGCCUAAUACGUAUCAACUGUGACGUUACUCGCAGAAGAAGCACCGGCUAACUCCGUGCCAGCAGCCGCAGUAACAC